AGCGCAGCGACCCUUAGGCCAGUGGCGCGCUGUCGGUGCCGCGCGUGGCACCACUGCCCGGUUACGAGUU
rnacentral:snoRNA from 1 species